ACGUAUAUCACUGCGUCUACGUUUGUCGGCAGUCAUGAGCUCUCGGUGACUGUCAAUGGAAACACUGAUGCAUCUCGCAAUGGCUCGGAAGCUAGUUUUGUGACCGCAAGCGGCUCCACAUCGAAACGCAAACCAUUUGGCAACGACGAC
rnacentral:ribozyme from 1 species